CCCAACUCUCUCAUCUUUUCAAGCUCCUCUUCCCCUUUCACUGUUCUUUUGCUUCCAUCUUCUUAGUAGUGACAAAGAUAUUACUUCCCCUCUCUGUCCCCUUUAGGGCGCGAAAACCCCAAAUUAAUAUUUGCAGAGUUGCAGCUGCGAAAUGGAGGUGACGAACCUCAGCAAACAAUUGAUUUCACUUGCAGUCCAAAGAUGUCGAUUAUCAGGAGAUCCCUGGAGAAUUUCCGUCUUCCUCCGACAAAUCACGGUUUCCGAUUCCGUCUUCACUCAAAUCUCAAUUUUCUUCUCCAUCUCGGAGUUCGAUUUGGCCGCACUCGCUUCCAAUCUUGACCGGACGGAGCGGCAGAUGAUGACGCAAAAUAGCUUUGUUGCGGCCUUGCGGGUGAUUUUGGUUCUACAGAGUCCCACAAUGUCUAAUUAGGUGGCGAUUUUAGCAUCCAGGAUGAUGGAACGAUCGUGUUUUUGUUUUGGGAGCACGAGGUGCUACUGGUCUAGAACUUACGGUUGGGAGUAAGAUUUUGAGGUGUCAGGACGAUCCUUCUGCGGGUAACAUUGGACUAUCUCCAAGGUCUCAAGGUUGGGAAUUUCUUGAUCAUAAAAGAAGGAAAAAUAAGAUACAGUGACUUCAUCGACAAGGAGUUGAAAUUCCAUACAUUUGUUGAUGGGCUAUAAAGCCCACCUAGAGAAAAGUUCUCUUCUCUGCUUUUAAGAAGAACUUGACCAAAGAGAUCAGAGUUUCUCAGUUCAACGAUUAUGUGUCCAAGAAAUCAGCUAACCAUCAUGGUGAAGCUAGCAUACAGAGUACAAUUGUUGAUAUGGCACAGAGUAUCGUGGGUGAAAAUAACCUUAAUCUUCUCAUGCCAAAUGGACAGUUUGGUAUAUGUAAUCUGGGAGGAGAGGAUGCUGCCAGUGUCAGAUAGAUGUACACAAGGCUGGCUGAAAUCACCAGGGAAUUGCCAGGAAAGACACUGGAAUCACUUCACAUUUAGUGGAACUAUUGAGGUAGUGGAUGAAGACAGUGCAAAUGAUGCAAGUGAAGGUGGCGAUGUAACUCUCAGAAUCACUGAACUGCCAGUUCGGAAGUGGACUCGAGAUUAUAAGG